CUUGAUUCUCAUAUAAACCAGAUGCCCCUGGCUUAGGCUUUCUCCUGCUCACUCCGCCCCCUCCUUCUCUUCUCCCCCCGCAGCUCCUCUGUGGACAGGGGCAGAGAUUGCUGUGGAGAUGGGGCACAGUGGAGAGCGCCCUGAGCUUUGUCUGGGGCACGUCUUCCUCUUCCUGGGAAGGAACAAGGAGCAGUUUGUAACCCAGGGCGUUAGAUGUGGUCCCUCGGCAUCCCAAGCAGGUACUUGCAGGAUGUAGGAGGGCACAGACCAGCAUGCUGUUCCAGACAGCACCCUGUCCACUUCUAACAUACUUUAUUUGUCUUGUUUGCCAGAUCCUGUCAAGCAGAGCUGUCCUCCCGGCUAACACAAGAGCAGGCAGCUGGCAGAGUGCUGGACACAAAGGGGCAGCUGGGAACUGCACAGGGAGGAUGGCCACUGUCCUUGAAGUCUCUGAGCUUGCCUGAGCUGUCAGCUGUCCUCGAGAAAUGUGUGGGAGAAAUGGGAAAAGCUCUGCAGAUGGUAACUCAAAACCUCCAAAGGCUCCAGGCCCCAGGGCAGGGUGCGCAGAGCUGGCUAGAGCCAUAACAAAGCAGGAUGGAAUACUGACGUCGGGUGACUGUUCCACCCGGAAUCUGAGCGUGCCUGGGAGAAUGAGCACAAGGACUGUGCUGGCAGCGCCGCAGCUCUGUGGAGAGUGUUGUGACAGCUGGCAGAUGUGUGGACAAAGGUCUCGGCCAUCAGAAUGUGCCAGGAGAAUGAGGGAUGGCAGAGGACAAGGAUACAGCAGCUCUCUGGGUCUGGUUCUUGUCUAGGUUCCCAGGACUGUGCUGUUUGUACCAGAAGUUCAAGUUAAGAGAAGAAGCCCAAAGGAUUUAUCUGCCUUAAACUUCCUGCAGCCUUUGUUGUUCAGGGCUAUGUUGUGUUAGAGAGCUGACAGCUGCCCACAGCCAUCAACUAAUUAUCCUUUUCCACAUCCUAUCCUCCCCAAGGCCUCCAACAAAUGAAUGGUAGUUGCUGAGGAGCUGACACAGAAAAUGUGUCUGAGGCAGUAAGGAGUGCAGGCUUGUGAGAUGAGUAAAGUGAGCAGAGUUGGUGAUGUCUGAGAAACACAUGCAGCCAAGUCUAGCUGGAACAUCUUCCCUGCAGUUGUCUCAGAUCUGUACUUCAAAACUACUCCCUUCAGCUAGCCUGCCUUGGUUCAGUUCAGAUUCCUGCCCCUUCAGGGCUCAUUUUGAUCAUGUUCUUUACUUCCAAAGAACUUUUUUUGUGGUAAAUGCUUUGUGGCAAGCAUUUACAAGCAGCAGACUCCAGUGGUCAGGUCUGCUGGUGCCAGGAUCCCAGCACUGACAGUGGUUGCAAAGCAGAUGUGUCCCUGGAAGGACAUGAGAGAGAAGGAAAAGCUCAAGACUGUUUGGUCUGCUUUGCCUCUGGCAAGCAGCAGAGCAGCAAGGCAGGCAGGACUAGGACUGAGGCCUCGGUUGGUUAAGACGGAUAAAAGAAAUCCCAUCUCAAAUGUAGCUGCACUGCCAUGCUUCAAUCCUUAGCUGCUGCCUGCUCUAAGUUCUCAGGCUUCAGUGUUCGGAAAGAAGCCUGCCAAGACAUUCUGGUUGGCAGUGUGAUAUAGUUUCAUAGGGCAAACAAAAGGUGUGGGGAAAAGGCUGCCUCCCAAGGGGGACUGCCUGAUCUCUUGGAGAUGGGCAAAGAAUCACAGAAUGAUGAAAUCGUAGGGGUUGGAAGGGACCUCCAGAGAUCAUUGAGUCCACGUGGGCACUGGUGACUGCUACAUGGAUGUAAAGUGGCUUCCAGAACUGCAGUGACUGUUCCUGUGUACUGCUGAGUCUUGGGGGAGAAUUAUCUUCUGUCUGACUGAUGGCCUUGAUGAAUCUGUAAUGGUCUCCAUCUAUUCCUUGAGAAGAAACUGCAUGCUCUUUCAGCACCUCUGAUUAAGGGCCAGAAAAAGUAGAAAAAUCCAUCUCAGCUCCAUCCUUUGAGCUUGUCACUUCUGGUCAGCUGCCCACAGCUGUUCAGACGAGCUGGAGCCCGGUUCCCCAUUGGUGGGGAUGACAUCUAGUUUGCUGCCUGGGGACAACCUGGGGGAACAGAGAUGGGUACAGCCUGCACUGUGCAGUGCUGCAGCUUGUAUGUGCGUGGCAGCGUGUUCAGCUGGGGUGUUGAUUCUUACUCACAUUUAACUCUUGUCCUUCGUUCCCUGGUCCAGAGUAUGGGUAGGCCAGAGACUAAGUGUGAAAGAAGAAGGGAGUCCCACAGGAUGGGUUCUGCAGGAGCCCAGAUGCCCCAAGGGGAUCACCAGGAGUGGGGUUUUAUAGAGUAGUGUUCCAUUAAGGACAGUGAUUCAGUAUUCAGUGCUGAAAGGGCAGCUGUGCCAGCAGCAAGGUGACUGGUGCUACCUGAAGUCAAGCUGUCUGUAUUAAGUAACAUUUGUUACUCAGCUAAAACAAUAAAAGCUGAAAACCUGUUUCUGGUGCUUCCUGU
rnacentral:lncRNA from 1 species